rnacentral:lncRNA from 1 species
GUUCCACUACUUACUAUUUUGGGAGACCCUGGACAGUAAGCAAGCCUGGAUCUGAGAGAGAUAUCAUCUUGCAAGGAUGCCUGCUUUACAAACAUCCUUGAAACAACAAUCCAGAAAAAAAAAGGUGUUGCUGUCUUUGCUCAGAAGACACACAGAUACGUGACAGAACCAUGGAGAAUUGCCUCCCAACACUGUUCAGCCAGAGCCUUCCACC